rnacentral:rRNA from 1 species
UACGUAGGGACCAAGCGUUGUUCGGAUUUACUGGGCGUAAAGGGCGCGUAGGCGGCGUGUUAAGUCACUUGUGAAAUCUCUAAGCUUAACUUAGAACGGUCAAGUGAUACUGAUGUGCUAGAGUGCAGAAGGGGCAACCGGAAUUCUUGGUGUAGCGGUGAAAUGCGUAGAUAUCAAGAGGAACACCUGAGGUGAAGACGGGUUGCUGGGCUGACACUGACGCUGAGGAGCGAAAGCGUGGGGAGCGAACAGG